GAUGAACGCUGGCGGCGUGCCUAAUACAUGCAAGUCGAGCGAACAGAUGAGGAGCUUGCUCCUCUGACGUUAGCGGCGGACGGGUGAGUAACACGUGGAUAACCUACCUAUAAGACUGGGAUAACUUCGGGAAACCGGAGCUAAUACCGGAUAAUAUAUUGAACCGCAUGGUUCAAUAGUGAAAGACGGUUUUGCUGUCACUUAUAGAUGGAUCCGCGCCGCAUUAGCUAGUUGGUAAGGUAACGGCUUACCAAGGCAACGAUGCGUAGCCGACCUGAGAGGGUGAUCGGCCACACUGGAACUGAGACGCGGUCCAGACUCCUACGGGAGGCAGCAGUAGGGAAUCUUCCGAAAUGGGCGAAAGCCUGACGGAGCAACGCCGCGUGAGUGAUGAAGGUCUUCGGAUCGUAAAACUCUGUUAUUAGGGAAGAACAAAUGUGUAAGUAACUAUGCACGUCUUGACGGUACCUAAUCAGAAAGCCACGGCUAACUACG
rnacentral:rRNA from 1 species